GAGUUUGAUCAUGGCUCAGGAUGAACGCUGGCGGCGUGCCUAAUACAUGCAAGUCGAGCGAACAGACGAGGAGCUUGCUCCUCUGACGUUAGCGGCGGACGGGUGAGUAACACGUGGAUAACCUACCUAUAAGACUGGGAUAACUUCGGGAAACCGGAGCUAAUACCGAAUAAUAUAUUGAACCGCAUGGUUCAAUAGUGAAAAACGGUUUUGCUGUCACUUAUAGAUGGAUCCGCGCCGCAUUAGCUAGUUGGUAGGGUAACGGCUUACCAAGGCGACGAUGCGUAGCCGACCUGAGAGGGUGAUCGGCCACACUGGAACUGAGACACGGUCCAGACUCCUACGGGAGGCAGCAGUAGGGAAUCUUCCGCAAUGGGCGAAAGCCUGACGGAGCAACACCGCGUGAGUGAUGAAGGUCUUCGGAUCGUAAAAACUCUGUUAUUAGGGAAGAACGAAAUGUGUAAGUAACUAUGCACGUCUUGACGGUACCUAAUCAGAAAGCCACGGCUAACUACGUGCCAG
rnacentral:rRNA from 1 species